GACGGAGGGUGCAAGCGUUGCUCGGAAUCAUUGGGCGUAAAGGGUGCGUAGGCGGCUUUUUAAGUCUGACGUGAAAGCCCAAGGCUCAGCCUUGGAAGUGCGCCAGAAACUGAAAGGCUAGAGUGCCGGAGGGGAGAGUGGAAUUCCUGGUGUAGCGGUGAAAUGCGUAGAUAUCAGGAGGAAUACCGGUGGCGAAAGCGACUCUCUGGACGGUAACUGACGCUGAGGCACGAAAGCGUGGGGAGCAAACAGG
rnacentral:rRNA from 1 species